GCCGUUCCUCUUUUUAUUAUGAAAAAAAAAAAAAAAAGCCUUAAAAACCAAUGGGUGGUUAGGUAACUGAUGACUAACUUUAGGACGGUUACUUGGAAAAGACCCUAAAGUGCAAACUUUCCUAUUUCCUAGCAGCACGUCCGUCUACCAUGCGCGUUUACCCUACUGCAACAAGGCUGCCAUCAGUAGUACAUGGGCAUUUUCGUAAUUCUAGUUUGACAGAGCACAUCGUUUCUCGAUUACCUAAUUAAUGCCUCGUUCCUUCCUUCUUCAACCUUUCUCUGCACAGGAGAAAAAAAAAUGUAUUUAUUAUUUAUCUCUUCUUCCCUUAUGACUUACAACCUGCUAUUCCCGUGUCAGAUUCGUUCGGCAAAUCCGACCUUUUUCAAAACCUGCCACAGUCGUUUUGAUUGACCCUGCCGUUUAAGAAGAUUCCACAAUCGACGUGACUAAACCUUAAGCUUUCAGGAUCCUAUACCCAUCACGCCCUAUACUAUUCUAAUAAUAUCCGACACCGGCUAUUCUACUUUCCCGGUCAAAUAACAUUAACCACCAGCUUGAUUUGUCGUUUCAAGGGUUUUAUUUAUUCUUCAAGUAUACACGAAGAAACCGUGUGGUAUAAAUUAUAAAAAAAAAAAACAGUAGCACGUGUGAGUUGUCGUCAGUCGACGGUAUUAUUGACGUGUAUUGUAAUAUGGAAAGAUAGACAAGGGUAAAAAUAGAAAGAGAGGGUCGCUUAUCUUGAACGGAACGCGAGUAGCAGUAUAGAGAAGCGAAAAUGGCUUGAGAGAAAAAGACAGGAGACAAAAAGGACUAAAUGAGAAGGGUAAGGUAUUUACAGAAUUACCGGCGGUUGGUUGGUGGUGACGAGUGUUUGGUUCUAUACUGGAAUAACAGCCAACAGAGACAAGGGUUCAGAGAUUGCAGUGUGUUGUUGGUGAGCAAUUGCGUAGAUACAGUUUCAUUUCAUUAAUUGUAAUUACAGUCUAGUCUAAUGGAGUAAUACUACUAUUUUCCUUUCUGUCUCUGUUUUUGCUUUGCUUGUAUUUUAGGUAUUUCCUAUUUAGCAAUUUAAUACGGG
rnacentral:lncRNA from 1 species